rnacentral:rRNA from 1 species
CCUACGGGGAGCUGCAGUGGGGAAUAUUGGACAAUGGGCGAAAGCCUGAUCCAGCCAUGCCGCGUGUGUGAAGAAGGCCUUCGGGUUGUAAAGCACUUUCAGUGGGGAAGAAAGCCUUGGGGCUAAUACCCUCGAGGAAGGACAUCACCCACAGAAGAAGCACCGGCUAACUCCGUGCCAGCAGCCGCGGUAAUACGGAGGGUGCGAGCGUUAAUCGGAAUUACUGGGCGUAAAGCGCGCGUAGGCGGUCUGAUAAGCCGGUUGUGAAAGCCCCGGGCUCAACCUGGGAACGGCAUCCGGAACUGUCAGGCUAGAGUGCAGGAGAGGAAGGUAGAAUUCCCGGUGUAGCGGUGAAAUGCGUAGAGAUCGGGAGGAAUACCAGUGGCGAAGGCGGCCUUCUGGACUGACACUGACGCUGAGGUGCGAAAGCGUGGGUAGCAAACAGGAUUAGAUACCCCAGUAGCC